GGCUCCUGGUUUUCUUCCACGUCCUCUCUGUGGUAGUAAAGGAUGAAGGAGAGGUGGUUGUGCAGGUAGAACUUGUUCCCAUCCAAAAACCCAAGCCUGUAUCCAUGCUCGAACUGCACAUCCUUCUCCUUCUUCUUUUCCUCUUCCUCACGAUUGGAAUAAAACUCCAGCCUUGUUGCCACAGGUAGGUUAUCAGCAAUGAGGUGGACGUAGUAAUCUUCCCUGAUCCGCUCAGCCAUCAGCUUGCUCUGCUCCACUGUCAGAGUGACUGGCUUGUUGGGAAAGUUGCACAGAACCUCACAUUUCUUCUCCACAUUCAUGAAAACCUGGAAAGGUGUGUUUACAAUUCGAUCCCCCCGGAGAACCUCAC
rnacentral:lncRNA from 1 species